UCCGGUAUGGUGUAUCGGUUUAACAUAUGUGCUUUUCAGGAAUAUGAACGCACGUGCGCGGGGUUCGACUCCCCGUACCGGAA